GAGGAAUAUUGGUCAAUGGGCGGAAGCCUGAACCAGCCAUGCCGCGUGCAGGAAGACGGCCCUACGGGUUGUAAACUGCUUCUCUGCGGGAAGAACGGCCCCCACGGGUGGGGGUGUGACGGUACCGCAGGAAUAAGGAUCGGCUAACUCCGUGCCAGCAGCCGCGGUAAUACGGAGGAUCCGAGCGUUAUCCGGAUUUACUGGGUUUAAAGGGUGCGUAGGCUGUUCGCUAAGUCGGCGGUGAAAUGGCGCGGCUCAACCGUGCAGCUGCCGUUGAAACUGGCGGGCUUGAGUGGGUUCGAGGCAGGCGGAAUGCGCGGUGUAGCGGUGAAAUGCAUAGAUAUCGCGCAGAACGCCAAUAGCGUAGGCAGCUUGCCAGGCCCCAACUGACGCUGAGGCACGAAAGCGUGGGGAUCAAAC
rnacentral:rRNA from 1 species